rnacentral:lncRNA from 1 species
AAAAAGGAAAUUUUGGAGAAUAAGAAGGUGUCAGAAAAUUUCUAGGACUCCACAGAGGACUAAUAAUAGCAAACACGGACAUUUGAGUUUAUCGUGUACCUGGUACUCACUCAAGAUUUUAAUUUGCCAAGGUCUCAAACCUAGCAAGCAGAAGAUCCAAUAUUUGAACCCAGUAGUCAGCCUUCAGAGUCUUUGCGAUUAAUUACUGCAUGAGAUUGACUCCAAAAUAUAGAAUACUAGAGUGAAAGAAAAGAAACAAGUUACAAUCAUUUGCUGACAUUUUCUCAGGAUUAUCCAACUUUCUUUGGCCUAACUGUAAGUAUCAAGCAAAUUUCAGACCUAAAUUCUUUCUCCUAAGCAGGUUUUUGCUCACCAUUUUAUUCUGAAAGUUGGUUUUGCAUCAUUCUGAGCAAACUAUCACAAAGACAGAAAACCAAACACUGCAUGUUCUCACUCACAGAUGGGAAUUGAACAAUGAGAACACUUGGACACAGAGCGGGGAACAUCACACACUGGGGCCUGUCGUGGGGUGGGGGAAUGGGGGAGGGAUAGCAUUAGGAGAAAUACCUAAUGUAAAUGAUGAGUUAAUGGGUGCAGCACACCAACAUGGCCCAUGUAUACCUAUGUAACAAACCUGCACGUUGUGCACAUGUACCCUAGAACUUAAAGUAUAAAAAAAAAAGUUGGCUUUGCAUGCCUUCGUAUCAAACAUACAGAAUUUCUGGAAGAAUACUUUCAGAUUGGCCUGUGAUACAAAGAAAGGAAGCUACCUACAAGAAAGAAAAUCAAGAAAUCUUGGUUUCUGAUGACACAGCUCACAUUUGCUGCCCUGUUCCUAGGGAAAGAAUUCUACAGUGAAAGGAGAAUUUUAAGAGAUGACUGCAGUAAUUAAAUGAAGCUUCAAUCCUUAACACAAACUUAUACAAGAAUAUAAACAACAUAUUGCUAUGUAAGGAAAGAAAAAACUGUUUUCAUCUGAACCAACGUAGCAAGAAGAUCCAGAAAACAAUGAACAAAAUUAUGCUAAAAAUAUUUUUCUGGCCUCCAAGAUACAAUUUUACUACAUAUACUUUGGCUUUUCAUAAAGUGAGCCAUUGAGAGAGAAAAUACCAGCUGCUUCUAAAACUCUAGGAUCCAGUCCAUGAAAGGCUAGAAAUGAUCUGUUUUCUAGCAGUACAUACAUUUUGUUGGUGUUAACAGUUAAAUAACUCAUGGGAAGCUGCAGGCCUCAAUUACAAUAUAUCAUCAAAAUUUAGAGACAAGAUCCAGAAUUGCCACUAGGUCUGCGAUUUGGAAGAACUUAUAUAAAUGGUAAAAUUUGUCCCCUGUGGACACCAACCGAAAGAUGAUGUGUAAAUUUGAUUCUGAAAACUUGAAUGUUUCCUAAAUUUUAGCACAGACUCUAUGACUCAUGUAACAAAUAUCAGACACAUGGUUUUGAGAUGGCGGCAUCUUUUGUUUAAUGACUUUAGAUGGAUUUGACCAUUUGGCUAUUCCCUUUCUGGUUGCAGACAUUUUAUUAGGCCCAAUUUGAAAAGACAGGCUUUCUUUUCUGCAAACAAAUUCAUAUGAAACUGUAUGUCACACUGACUUAGACUUCGUGCUAAAGUGCUGCU